GGCUCAGGAUGAACGCUGGCGGCGUGCUUAAUACAUGCAAGUCGAACGGAGGCUUUGUAGUAAUACGAAGUUCUCAGUGGCGAACGGGCGAGUAACGAGUUGGUGACCUGCCCCGAAGUGUGGGAUAACAGUCCGAAAGGAUUGCUAAUACCGCAUGUGAUCAUUGGAUUUAGAAACUGAUGAUUAAAGCAGUAAUGCGCUUCGGGAGGGACCUGCUUCCCAUCAGCUAGUUGGUGAGGUAAUGGCCCACCAAGGCUACGACGGGUAAGGGACCUGAGAGGGUGGUCCCUCGCAAUGGCACUGAAACACGGGCCAUACACCUACGGGUGGCAGCAGUAGGGAAUAUUGGGCAAUGGGCGAAAGCCUGACCCAGCAACGCCGCGUGCACGAUGAAGGCCUUCGGGUCGUAAAGUGCUUUUCUGAGGAAUGAGUAAGGACAGUACCUCAGGAAUAAGCCUCGGCUAACUACGUGCCAGCAGCCGCGGUAAAACGUAGGAGGCGAGCGUUAUCCGGAUUUACUGGGCGUAAAGCGUGUGUAGGCGGUUCGGCAAGUUGGAUGUGAAAGCUCCUGGCUUAACUAGGAGAGGUCGUUCAAUACUACCGAACUUGAGGGCAUCAGAGGAAGGUGGAAUUCCCGGUGUAGUGGUGAAAUGCGUAGAUAUCGGGAGGAACACCAGUGGCGAAAGCGGCCUUCUGGGAUGUUCCUGACGCUCAGACACGAAAGCUAGGGUAGCGAACGGGAUUAGAGACCCCGGUAGUCCUAGCAGUAAACGAUGUAGACUUGGUGUCGGAGGUGUCAAAACCUUCGGUAUCGAGGCUAACGCGAUAAGUCUACCGCCUGGGGACUACGGC
rnacentral:rRNA from 1 species